rnacentral:tRNA from 1 species
GCUUGAGUAGCAAAGUUGGUUAAUGCUUGAGAUUUAGGUUCUUACAUCAAGGUUCGAAUCCCUUCUUGAGUU